rnacentral:tRNA from 1 species
UGGGGCGUGGCCAAGCGGUAAGGCGCCGGAUUUUGGUUCCGGUAUUCGAAGGUUCGAACCCUUCCGCCCCAGCCA